GAGGGUACAGCUCAGUGGCAGAGCAUAUGCUUGGCAGGCACGAGGUCCUGGAUCCAAUCCCCAGUACCUCCA
rnacentral:tRNA from 1 species